AAUCAACGCUGGCGGCGUGCCUCAGACAUGCAAGUCGAACGCGAAAUUUCCCUUCGGGGAGAAAGUAGAGUGGCGCACGGGUGAGUAACACGUGGGUAAUUUACCUUCGGGUGGGGAGUAACAGUCGGAACGACUGCUAAUACCGCAUGAUGCAGCGGCACCACAUGGUGACAGUUGUUAAAGCGGGGGAUCGCAAGACCCCGCGCCUGAAGAGAAGCCCGCGGCAGAUUAGCUAGUUGGUAGGUAAUGGCUUACCAAGGCAACGAUCUGUAGCCGGCCUGAGAGGGCGGUCGGCCACACUGACACUGAAUAACGGGUCAGACUCCUACGGGAGGCAGCAGUCGGGAAUUUUGGGUCAAUGGGCGCAAGCCUGACCCAGCAACGCCGCGUGAAGGAUGAAGU
rnacentral:rRNA from 1 species